rnacentral:lncRNA from 1 species
UUUUUUUUUGUUCUCUCAAUAUAACUAGAGGUAAUGAAUAAAAAACAACAGUUGUGCAUGAAGAACAGGAACGGGGAGGGGGGGGGGGUGGUUACCAUCGAAAUGGCGGCAUGGGUAAGUUGGAGAACAUCCAAGCAAGCAACAACUCUACCAUCUAUUCAUGGAGAAGUAAAAUUCUGUUAGUUACAAAAAAAAACAAGGAACUCUUAGACUAGAAGAGUCAAGUUUUACCUCCAUCAACAACAGGAAUAUGCAGGAAUUUGCCAUCAUGCAUUAUAUGUAGAGCGUCAAGAAUUGAGGUGUCCAAUGUAGCACAAUCGGGAUGUGCAGUCAUUACCUUGAGCAGUAUGGUAAAUAACACUCAGUCUAGAAUGAAUUACAUAAAGCUUCACAGCAUUUCAAAACAGGACUGGGAGUUAUAAACCUUUUCAACUAGAGUUAAUUCAGGAGAAAGAUUUUGUGCCACAACACGCAUAAGAACAUCCUUUGAGCUGAAUUCCACAAUAACACACCCAUUAAUAGCUCGGUAAGAAACAUAAAAAGAAAACAACAAAUAAAAAAUUUAUAGAAAAAUUAGGGCAGUGCUUACGUAAAGAUCCCUUGCAACGAAUUUCCGUUAGUUAUAACAACUGAAUUGACGCGUAGUUCACGCAUUUUUUGGGCUGCUACAUAAACAGGAUCUGAAAGUGAAACCGUUGCUACUCUGCAAGUUAAUAGAAGAGGUAGCUCUUGUCAUCCAAAUCACCAUUUUGCUAACAACCAACCAAGAAAAAUGAAUAAGAGAAGACAGAUAAUUACUUUGUGUUUUCUGUGAUAAUGGUUGACAAAGAAGGUUUGAACAUCCUUUCUCUUAGAGUUUCUAUUAAAGCGUAAGGAGCUGUAACCACAAAUAGUCAAAAUAUUAGUUUGGUCAGCAACACAUGACUAAGAGAAAACUGCUAAUCAGGUACAAUUAUUAGGAAAAGUACACAUAUCAACCAAGAAAGACAUGGUUCCAACUUUAAAGUUGUUCUAUGACAUGUAAAAGAAACUUGCUAUUAUUAACUAUGCACAAAUAUAGUUCACAUAGCCACAACAUACAUGUUCUAUUACUUCUUAUUUGUGCACCAUCAUGUAAAUCAAUAAAAAAGAAAGAGUUAGCCGGCACAGGCUACAACACAAGACCUGUGAAGUUGCCUCCUAAUUGGCGCUCAACCCCUUCUACAGCAGCUGCAAGUGCACUUCCUUGUUCUGCUGCCUUUUCCAGUCUUGAUAUUGCAUCAUACAUGCAUUUUGCAAUAUCCAGCAUGGCGAUAACCUCACCAUUUUCAACCACUGGAAGGUGUCUAAAUUUCCCUGAAACCAGAAAAUACCAUGUUAAUUUCCAUGAGAGGAUGCAAACGUCUCUAGAAGUAAGCUUUAUGUGAAGAACAUGAGUACACUCAUCAUCAACAUACAUACAUCUGUCCUCACAAAGCUAAAGAAAAUUAGAUAUGUAACCACAUCUAAAACACCCAUUUAAAAUUUCAUCAGAAGAAAAAUAGAGCUAGUCCUUUCAUUAGGCCACUUUUCAGUUGGAAAUUUCAAAUAUAUACAGAUUUAUUAAGGUGUCUCCAAGUUGUAACAAUCAGAACGCACCAAAUAGUUCACCUCGAACCAUAAUUCAUAAACAUGUUAGUUCCUAAUGUUUCAAUUACUUCUUUAUUAAUAUGUCAAUUAAUAUUCUCAGUAUACACAAAUCACUAGGAUUUUCUACUGGUCAUAUUUCUCCCAGUUUCUUUUGUAGAAUCUUAACUUCUCGAAAAUUAUAACUUUGUUGGUUUUUUCGCCAUUCAUGAUAUGAGUUUUGAAUCCAGAUCCAUCUUCUUAGGAGUUAUGACUACUAAAUGCUAAUGCAUAGGGGAUUGAAGCUUUGCAUAGGCUAAACCUUUAAAAAAAUAAUCCUAGAGAUUUUUUUUUUAAAAAAGCAGUGAGAAACCAAAUAACGAAAAAACUCAGAGUUAUUGCAAUAACAUAAUAGGACGAGAAAUAUGGAAUAUUUUUAGGUAAAACUUAACAAACUCUAAGAAAUGAGAAAAAAUGGGAGGAGAAUAGUUAAUGCAGGGUCUUUGACUCUUGCUUAACCAGUCUGAAAGAGGGAAUGCAUUGUAAGCUGUGACGCUGAAAGAUCUUGCUGUCGAUUCAAUAUCUUAAGGGACUAAAUUAUGGCAAGUGGAAAAGAGACAUGCAACAAGCUGAAAGUUUACUGAUCAUUAUGGCAACAAUUACCUUGGACCAUUUUCUGCAGUGCCUCGAUAGCAAGUGUGUCAGACGAAACAUACAGAGGGUUUCUGGUCAUGAUCUUGGAGAUGAUUGUGUGCUCAACGCGCAGCCCCUCGGCAAUAACCCUUGUGGCUACGUCCUAUAUCAGAAUACAGAAGAAAAAGAAGAAAAAGCAGAGCAUGUCAUUCAUCUCAGAAAUUCUAAACUGGCAGUAACCAUUUCACAUGUAGCAGUCACAGAGACUGCUGAACCAGUUCCAGAAAUAUGGUUGCACACAUUCAUGCAUCAAUGAAUCAAAUCAGCUUACAGACCUUUACCAGAUAUAGACUAAAACCACUGUUCCUAAACAUCCCCCUUUUAAAUCCAAAAUAAGUGAAAACAAGCAUACAGCAUCAGUUUGAAAUUCGAAGCAUUACUCAUUAAACAAGAACAAAGGAACACAAACAUAGUCCAGUCAUAAACUAAAGCUGUACUAUUAAAUAACAAUCAAAGUACCCUAGACAAGCCAUUACUCUAGCCACUCAUUGCAUGCAGAGUUACAGACACAAGCAAUCUUUAUUAGGGCACGUAGAGUACAGUUGAAGACAGCCCACUGUUAGUACCUAGAAAUACCCUACCAUUCCAUUCGAGCUCGAAAACCACUAGACAACAACAGGCAACGAGGAUCCCCAGACAGAAAAAGAGGUCACCUUGUCUGUGACAAUGCCUGAGAGGAGGCCGUUGGCGUCGGUGAGCAGCACGGCGUCGACCCGCCUGGCCGCCAUCCGCCGGCACGCCUCCGACACCGUCGUGCCCUCCGGGAUCGUCAGCGCCUUGGACAGCCGCAGCUUCUUCACCGUCCUCUCCCCUCUGACAACAACCCCAACAUUUUUUUUUCCCGUCAGAACUUCCAUGGAAAGGAGAAUUCAAAAAGGAGGAAAGAACUUUCGGGGGCUUAGUAUCAUUACGCGGCGUGGUUGGGAGAUGCGGGCUUGGAGGAAGGAGCCUUCCCGUUCCCAUUCCCGUUCCCGUUGCCGUUGGCGGUGGUGGCGGCGGAAGCGGAAGCGGAAGCGGAGGAGGGGUCGUCGGACUUGCGGGAGGAGGCGGCGGACGGCGGCCGGCUGCGCGUGCGGCGGCUCUGCGCCACGGCGGUGUUCAUGGCGGCGGCGGAGGAGCAGGGGAGCGUGUGAAGCGCUAAUCAGGGGUUAGACUGAGGUGCGGGGAUCGAAGAGGGAGGCCGGCGGGGAGGCGGCGGCGAAUGUUGGAGGAGGGAGGGGAGCGGUCGCUGUAGACUUCUGUGUGGGUAUUCGUGGUGGAGGCUUUUUACGUUCCAGACCUUCGAUGCUGCAUUAUUUGAGUUAAGACGUUCGUCGUGUCAUGCUUCAAUGCUUCGUGCUUGGUGCAUAAAUGAUAAAAAUAAAUACAGAAAUAGGAGUACUACUUGUAAGUACACCGUAUAAUAAUUUCAACCAUAAAUACUUGUACAUUAGUAUAACGGAAUCAGGAGUAAGUAAAUAUCAUAAAACCCGACCUUUGAGGCUUCUGUAUCCCAAAAAUCAAAUUUACGAGGAUUAAAUCACAUAACCACAUUUUUAGGACACAAUAUAACAACUUACUCAAAACUCAGUAUUAAGAGGUUUUAUUUUCAUUUUUUUGGUGGGGCCAAUUGGUGGGCCUUAUGUGGAGCUACAAGUUGCUACACUGGCCAUCUAACAUGGAGGAGACCUAACCUUCAUUUUCUUGUUGCACAUUUGCCUUUUCUUAUGUGGCAAGAUUUUCGAAAAAAAAUUUGAUCGAGCGAAACGAUAACAUAGAUGGCCAUAAAACAUUAGUCAGAAUACUGGACGACGAAGGAGGUACAACUAAAGUAGGUAUCAUACAUGGAAAACAAACACUAGUGUCGAAGGAGAACGAUGAUGACCCUCGUUUUGGAUGGAGUUGUGGCAUAUUUGCAAUUAGUUGGAAUUCGUACACCCGGAUCUAUGUAAAGCCAACGGCUAUUUAGUAUUAACAAGAGACAGGAUGCAGCAAGCAUACAUCUCAUGGGUCGUUUUUGUGAUACAAAAUCAUGAUCAUUGGAUGAUCCAUGUUCAAACGGCACUUAUUAAUGGAAUAAUCAUUGGCUCAUGUUUUACUUUGAAAAUAAUAAUUAAAACAACAUAUAUUGCAAUGGAAGGAGCAUUCAUUAAUUAAAAAGGAUGCUAUUUUUAUCACACCUUGCAAACAAUGUUGCUUGUGCACCCGUUCUUCACGAGCUCAUAGUGAAGUAGCGAACCAGCCGCGGCAGAAAUUAAUCAGUGUCCUUGACGCCACAGGGACGUCCUCGUGAUAACGUGACUCAACAGGGUGCAAAACGGAAGUUGAUGCCAUGAUGAUAUCGGUGGUAUACGUAUAUCAACUUGUACGCUUCCCAGUUGACUGCGACCGGCCUGGGGAGUCACCGGACGGUGGAGCCAGGUUCUGACAGCUCUAUGGGUCCCUUUCCACGGAUUGGCUGGGUGCGCUCGUCCUGGUAGCUUUGUCGCGCCGCAUCGAGAGAAUCGAUUCGAAUUCUUCCCACGUGCGUAAUAUUCAAGCACUUUUUUCUCCUGUUUUUUUUUUAAGAAAUUGAAAGCUGCCUCUCGUGUGGCCAAUUAUAGUUGCCAAUGGGCCAUCGUUGUAAAGAUGGGCCUUUUGAGGCUUCAUUUAUUUUGCUUUGUAGAUUGGAGUGGGCUGAACAACACAUAUACAUGCGUAUGCACUGGAUCUGUCGGGCCACAUUCUGGGCUAAGCCUUAGGCCAUCGACCCCUUCGGCCCUGUCUGUCGUCUCAUGGCCGUUCCUGAGUUUCCUUAAACAACAGCUAAUGGCAGUGCAUAAACCCUGUACUAGCCUAAUAAACAACUACUACUACGUUGGAUUUAUGCCGGCUGUCAAAAAAAAAGGUUGGAUUUAUGCCGAUACUCUCGUUUUUUUUUAAUGUUUUUGGUUGAUUGUAUAGAGCAAUCCGGGCCAAUGCAUUUUAUGAACGAGGAGUAUGUGUGAGGGUGGAAUUAGCUUGCGUUCGACAAGAUUGUCCAGAACAUACUCCGUCAGUUCCGUAUUAAAUUGAUGUUGUGGAAAGCUAAAAAGUCGAUCAAAUAUUUUGGAACAGCGGUAAUACUCUAAAAAGCAUAGAUUAAGCUACUCUAAAAUGUAAUCUCUAUUGGUGUGUGGGUCUUAUUUUCUAAUUUCCAACAUGAAGUUCCAUACUGCUGAUGAUUUAUGCUGCGUACAGACCAAUCGAGUGGAUGUGUCUCUCAGAAUUAACAAAGAAGCCCACAAUGGUCUUGUCCGCCGGCGCGGUAUAGCGAGUAGAAGGUUGGUUCCUCGGUGCUCCAUAAGGCCCAUACGUGGCCACGUCGGUGAUAAUUAGAAGUUCAACUAUAUAAUCGUCCAAAGUUGCCACUGAUAUUUCCUUGACAAACUCGGAAGGGCCAAACUUGAUCUGCAGAUAGCAUAAAAAGAAACAAAACAUUACUGAAGCGGUCAUGCAAUUUGCCUAUAAAUUAGUUUUAUUGAGCUGCCAUUUUCUUAACGAACCAAUAACAUCGAGUGAAGGGGAUAAAAAUAUAUAUUUAAACGCGCGCACCGUUCAUGUACUAUAGUGAAAGUCAUCGCCCCAAUGACCUGCUGUGUGAACCUGCCCAUCUUCACCGAUGUAAGUAAAUGAAAUUCCAUCAACAUUACUCCCACUCCAGAUUGUCACCGUUUCUAGACGUUGGGGUUUUCCUUCCAUUUCUUGAAGGGAACCGCCAGUUGUACCCCAUGGUGAAAGAUCGGUAUGGUUGGGUAGAGGGGGGUGAAUAGACGACUAACAAAUUUUAAUCUUUUUCUUUUCUAGAAAGAUACAGACACUUAACCUAGGAUUUACUAAAUUCUCUAAAAGUAAUGCAACCCUAGGAUGAAGUGCAAUAGCCGAAGUAAUAGCCGAAGCAACUAGAUAACAAGAAUGUAAAGGAUAAGAAUGGAUACCACACGAGAGACGAAGAUUUCACCGGAGUUCCACCGAUUGGGGUAGGUGCACGUCUCCGUUUGGAGGAGUGCUCUACCACAAAGGUAGAGACGCCACAAAAGCUCACUCUAUUCUCCUCUCACGGCACCACAAAGGUGAGUGAGCUCCACUAAUGACUUCCUUGAAGGCGAAGACCGAACCUUUACAAACUUGACCGGGGCUAGCUCCACAACUCAAUUGGAGGCUCCUAAUCUAAUCCUCAAGCUCCACAAUCCCCAAGGAAAGAGCUCAAGGCAACCACUUCCGUCUAGGGCUCCCAAAUGCCUAAGAGAAAUGAAAUCCACAAGAGAAACAAGGAGAAUCAACUUUGUGACUUAGUGAAACCCUAGAUCUAGGUCUUCUCCUUCAAUUCUCAAAGAAUCAACAAGGAGAAAGCUUUAUGGAGGGAGAUCUAGUAGAAUGAAGCUUAGGGAGUUCUUGGGAGAGAGGGGGCUGUUCUUUGCUUCGUGCUCGGGCAAAAAAACCGUUGGGGACGAAGGGGUAUUUAUUUGGACUUCACAAAAUCUAACCGUUAUGCACCGCGAUUCCCAGGGGCGGAACUUCCACUGGUCACCGGAAGUUCCGGGUGACAGGAAGUUCUGGCCCUGUUCCGGCUGAACUUCCGGAAAUCCACAAUGGAUUCCAGUAGCGUUGCGGACCUGGUCCAGAGGUUGGGCGGAAGUUCCGGUCUACCGGAACCCCACCGGAACUUCCGGACCUGGGCAAGCAAAUGCACAUCAGUUAGGCUCUAUAGUUGGUUCUCUCUCACUUUUUGGGUAGGUUUUAUGUGGAUGCAAGAUGUUUGUUUGUGUACGUGAAAAGCAAUUCACCCAUUACCUUCCCAUGUGGACUCCCUCUUAAUAGUACGGAGUUCCAACGACUCAAUAACCGAAAAACCCGCUACCACUACUCUUCGUCUUCCAACUUGAGGGCAUCGAAUCGUUUUGCGCCAUUUGAUAUCAAAUCUGAAAUACUUAACGCACGAUUAGUCCACACCACACGUUGUCAUCACCACCAAAAUUAACUAGGAGAGAAAUGCCCUUUCACAUGACCCCACCUUUGUUGGGGCCGGAAGUUCUAUUUGCACAUAUAAUGGAGUGAGCAACCAUUGAUAUGCAACAAAUAGUGUGGGAGUAAAAGUAUAGACAUAGACAAGAGAUUAUCUACCGAAGUUUUCGUUAAACUUGUAAUCAGUUCUCUCCAUCAACAUCGGGAAGUAAAGAAAUUAAAAGAAAAUUAAGAUCGAAUUAACCGACCGACAGUUAACACCGACACACCAAUUGUACGUAGUGCUCCACGUACCCUUCAUUGUCUAUCACCACGGAACAUACGCACCCUUUCUUCUUCUCACAUGUGCAUCUACCACCACAUCUCUACCUUGCUCACCCUAGCUAUAGCAUUCCUCCUAGACCACUCUAUAUCCUGUAAUCCAUUGACACGGUGGUGGAUGCAGGUUGUCAAUACCGGUACGGCAGACAGUGUAUGAAUUUUCAAUAUUGGCCGGUGGGCCAAAGACACUGGGAUUCUAUUAAUUUCUUCCUUUUGUGUUGAUAAUUUCGACCAAUGUCUCGUUCCAUGCUUUGCCACCUUGUGUUCUUGGGGCUGUUUAGAUUUUACUGUAACAUGUUCCGUUCUUAAUUAGUAUAAACCUCACAAUCUGCAAUUCAUAUUUUCCUCCAUGCGGUCUAUAGGACGUGGACAGUACGCAGCUCCACUAUGGUUCAACAUGGACACGGCUCAUAUAUCCUAGCUAGCGGUUAGAAACUAAGUGCAAAAAUAGUUACACUUCAAAACGUCAAUAAAUGGAAUUGUUCUGCAUGACUGUUGCAGUCUGAGUCUGUAAUGCUAUAUUAAUGACAUGUGUUGCACACAUCCAUGCAUGUACUUAGUCACCCGGCCUGAUAAAUAAUCGAUCAAUCAGUCAACAAGAAGAAGAUGGCAGGAAGGUACAGCGAGCCACAGAGAAGGAACAGAUCGAGGUCAUCACCAUGAAAGCAAGAAUUAAGAUCGAGAUGUGAGAGCCAUUGCCAGCAGCGGUUGGCACUAGAGACGUGGAUGAACCAGCAUUGGGGCUAUGCAUCGACGGAGAUCUUUUUAUUACGACCUCUUUCAUAACAUAUAGCAAAGGGAAGAAACAACUAACAUCAACUAAAAAAGUUGGCACUGUUAAACGUGGGCCAAGAUCUAGCACAUUUAAAUUAGUUUGAUCAUAACUAAAAAAGUUCUACCAGCCGCUUUCAUAAAACAUAAUUGAAACCAAAUGUGCAUGACAAUUUCUGCCUUGAUUUGUUUGUUGAGUCAACUCCAUUUCCUUUCAUCUACAAUUUAGGGCCAACUUGCAAAAUACCUUGAGUAUUUGUUUGUUUUAGUCAUUUAGCCUUGCGUUACACGUAAUUUUCUCUAAACUAAGAGUUAAUUGUAGCAUGACCGUUUUGGUACUAAAGUAGAAUAUCUCUCCUAUUCAAUGAAAGAUAUCUACAUGCAUCCUAUAAAUUGCUGCAACACUUUGCGUUGAAAGAAUGUAUGCUUGCAACUAGCAACAUUGCAUUGAUGCAAUAACCACUAUAGCCACGCCACAAUACUCAUAUAUAUGCAACGCCAAUGAUAGUUGCUUCUAUGCCCUAUUACUACGUCACAUUGAUGGCAAAAGCCCCUAGGUUAUGGCAACGUUUAAAACAUGUAUCUGAAAUCUAUAGCUACGGCACCUUUACCAUCGCCUGCCAACACUUGCGUUUUGCUGCGAUAUCUAAAUAUUGCAACGAAAAGGGACAUUUUGCAACUUUUUUUUCCCGUGGCCUCUGGUGGAUUCGUUAGUAGUUUAAAUUAUGGAUCAUCCUAUUAUCAUACAUCAAGUCAUAUCCUUCUUAUAAUGACUAACCUUGAGAAUAAUAUUACGAUGAAGAGUUUAUUAUUGGACAAAUGCCGGAGACUUUGCAUGCUUUUUUUCUUAUGAUUUUUAGCAAUCUACAAUAAAGAGGAUUAAUCAUUUUACUUCAUGUGUCUAACCUCAUUACACUUCUAAACACAUUUCUUUUUUGCAUCCUAUUUACACAAUAGGGUAAGUAUCAACCUUGCGGAUGUUGAUAUGUUAAAAACACACAUAGUACUUCUUGAAGUUCGAUGAGGAGUUUUUCCUAAAACCAAUAAAACAAACAGAACCUCGCUGCUCCCCAUUCGCUAAUUGAUGUGAAUAUGAGAUACCGGUGUAUGCUAUACUGUUGGUGUAUGAGAUGGAUGGAAAUAGUUCAUAUGUAUGGGAUUCCUUCGAUGCUUGUAUAUCUGUGUUUGGGUCUAGUGUGGAUAAGUAUAGAUGGAUGGCAAUGGAUUUGUUCAUUCAAUGUGUAUUCAUAUGUAUGCUUGUUGUUCAUGUAUAUAGAUGGAGCAAGAAAAACAGAACCAACCCAAAGCAAAUUGGGAUGCAACCUGCUGCCAGUGCAUUUUGUGGGACAUAGUGUUGAUCACUUCAAACUUCACCAGAGCCAGCUCCAUCAGGGUCAAGAGCUAAGUAUAUUGUAGUUUUGUGUCUCGACGCGAAAUUAAGAGGAUUCAUGUUUCCUUUUUACUUGUGUAUUUAGGUGCACCUCCACGCCUGCAAAUUUAUUAUCCCCGGCAGACGAUAGACUUUUCAUUCUUCAAAAAAAAUAUCUCGUGCCAGUAAAUCCUCUCAUGGCAAGCGUCAGGAACUCAUACAAGAAACUCGAGAAACACAGAAAGAAAGCUCAUUCAACAUUAUCAUCACUUUGAUGCCGAUAAAAACAAUGUAUGGGAUAAAUUUAUUUUUGAUGGAACAUAACAUACAAAGUGACAACAAAUCACUGAUGCAAAGAUGGCACGGGAGGACCCUAGCCAUGCAUACAUUUUAUUCCUAGAACUUGGAAAUUAGAAGCACAACUGAAAGAAACAUGUCACGGCAGUCCUAGCCAUAAUACUUGUUGUUCGACUAGUGGAAAUUAAAUAUGCCACAACAACAUGCAGUUCCAUACUGAUGAUGAUUUAUGCUGCGUAGAGACCAAUCGAGCGGAUGUGCCUGUCAGAAUUAACAAAGAAGCCCACAAUGGUCUUGUCCGCCGGCGCAGUAUAGCGGUUAGCAGGUUGGUUCCUCCGUGCUCCAUAAGGCCCAUAUGUGGCCACGUCAGUGAUAAUUAGAAGUUCAACUAUAUAAUCGUCUAAAGUUGCCACUGAUAUUUCUUUGACAAACUCGGAAGGGCCAAACUUGAUCUGCAGAUAGCACAAAGAAAGAAACAAAUUAGACAACACUGAAUAUGGUCAUCCAAUUUGCCUAUAAAUUAGUUUUAUUAAGCUGGAACUUUCGUAAUGAACCAUUAAAAUCGAGUGAAGGGAUACAAAUAUAUAUUUAAACGCACCGUUGAUGUACUAUAGUGAAAGUCAUCGCCCCAACGACCUGCUGUGUGAACCUGCCCAUCUUCACCGAUGUACGUAAAUGAAAUUCCAUCAACAUUACUACCACUCCAGAUUGUCACCGUUUCUAGACGUUGGGGUUUUCCUUCAAUUUCCUGAAGGGAACCGCCAGUUGUACCCCAUGGCCCCACCUUCGUUGGAGCCGGAAGUUCUAUCUGCACAUGUAAUGGAGCGAGCAACCAUUGAUAUGCAACAAAUAGUGUGGGAGUAAAAGUAUAGACAUAGACAAGAGAUUAUCUACCGAAGUUUUCGUUAAAUUUGUAAUCAGUUUUCUCCAUCAACUUCGGCCGAAGAAAUUAAAACGACCAAAUAUUAUACUUUAGGAUGCGCAUGUUUGUAAAUGUCUUGAGCAAAAGUUGAUGAGAAUGUGAAUAAAAGACGAGAAUAGGAAAGAAUGUUAUGCUCACGUUCUUCAUGCGGCAGAACGCGUCGAUAUUAAGCUCUUGCAUUUCCCCAUUAGUUAUGUCGGAAUGAAAUUUUCUCUCGAUGACACCACGUGCCAUUGAAAAGGCGCCGGUCCCGCCAACGAUAGCCCACUCACCUUGUUUCUUGGCCAUUACUCCCAUUACCUCAAGCGCGGACUCCUUGAACCUAUGUAAUUGCACCGAAAAAUAUCAUGCAGGUACCCAAACAUAUCUAGCUAAUAUUAUAGUGCAUGACAAGUUAGUUUGUCGACUAGCUACGUAUAUAUAGCUAUCCACGCUGCCUGCCUAGCUUACUACAAGGUAAAAACAAAGUUCAAUGGAAACUUAAUUUGAACAUACCUUUCAUUCUGGAACACCAUGGUGAAUGAAAUGUACCAGCCAGCGGCAUUCAUAUGCAUGCCUUUUGCAUGGGCAACUACCUCCGCGUCUGGACCCACACCGUCAUAGAGCGCCCAAUUGUUGACGGCGGUCUGACCGAGCCUAGUACUAUUGUCUCCCCUUAUUAUUUCUAACUGGUUGGCACUUGGCCCAGAAAUGAUGCGGCGCAAGUACAAGUUGCUGAAGUUAAGCCUAGCAUUCUCCACAAGAUCACCGUAGCAACGGAUGACCUGGAAGCUGCUGGAGGAUUUGGCCAUGGGUGAGUGCUGGGAACUAGCUAGCUAACUGUCAACUAGGGUAUGGUCUUGCUAGCUUGGCUAAGUUUGGUUGUUUGCUGUGUAAAAUGCAGCAGAUGGCGAGGGGUAUUUAUAGGACCAGAAUCAGGGAAGCCCAUCCAUGCACCACCUUCUCUAUUCCUGUUUACUUGGAGUACUGCUGUUUUCAUCACAUGCAUUAGGAUUCAGGAGCGGCUAGUUCAAGCACAAGAUAUGAUUAAUUAGAACAUCCAAGAGAAAGCGCGUGGCACUUGCUUAAAAGAAAAGAACCGACAAAGAGUAUCAUUUGUUUCAAAGAUAAGUGAGCUUGUUAAUCACAUGAUCAAUUAAAUGGUGACAUGGAUCGAUAGACUUUAGACGAUUUUACUGAGGCACGUGAUUCAGUAAUUAAGAUCUCAUUUUGUCGGCUAUGAUAUUAAAAGCAUAUCUACCAGAGAUGCCAACGUGAAGUCCCUCUGGAAACAAAAAAAUAUUUACACCAGCUGCUGUUGGACAUUUGGAUCUUAAAAAUAUUUUUUACUAGUGCUAACAAUGCUUUCGAUAUCAGCAGAGCGGCAUUGUGGUACGUGAAGCGUGCGUGGCAGAUCGAGCACGUUUUCUUAACCGACAAACGGGGCAAAAUGGUGUAAUUUCCUCGAAGCUUGGACAAGCAACUGUGAAAUUAAACUGCUAGCCUAUACCUCCAAAUAGCUCCCCUAUUUUUUUUUUCUAGAAUCAUUUAUAGAAAGGAGAAACUCCAAACAGCUCCCCUAUUUUUCAUAGCUAGUAGCCGACGAUAGGUAUAUUUAUAUCAAAAUGGUUCAUCAAUGACAUAAGGGCAUCUCCAAUGGUGGUUGGUACUAAAUUUGUGUUCUUCAUUUUUUUUAAUGUGUUUCCUUUUUCUUAUUCAUAUUUUUUUUUGAUGAACCCACAUGUCAUCCUCUUUUCUGUCUUGGUAUCCGUAUAGUACCUGUUACUUUUUCAAGUAACCACUAAUUAGUUGUGGUAUUUAUCUCUCCUCCACAUUGACCACUAUCUUUUUGGUAUCCGUGUAGUACCCAUUGUUGAAGAUGCCCUAAUACAUGAGACACAAGUUAUACUUAUACAUAUGAGGUACAAUUUUUUUGACUUCCUACGUUUAUAUUGUGUUCCCACCGGCGGUGGUGAUUAGUUAAACAAUAACUUAGCAUAUUGCAAUAAACAGACGUUAGAACUCUAUCUUAAACUAAAUUUUAUUAUAUCACAUACAAAAUCUAUAUAUGUUGAGUUGCAUACACCAACUAAUUAAUUUUAUUUUACUUUACUAGCACAUUGUAGAAGAACUGGUGCCUCCUUUAAUUAGAGGUGUAGAUAUCGAAGGAAAGUGGAGCGAGUCGCGGUAGAGGUGGGAUGAGUGGAUCCAGAUGUAGGAGUCGGAGGAGAUGAUGAUAACGACGGGUUGUACAUGUGGGCUCACAAGCUUUUUCACAGGUCGAGUGGAAGCCAGGAGACUCCCAUUUCUGGGCCGGUCUGAUGAAGGUGAAGCGAGAUUUUCUUCGCUUCGGAUCCUUUCAUAUCCAAGACAGGUCUCAAGUUCGCUUUUGGGAAGACAUCUGGCUAGGUACACGCCCACUUUGCGAGCAAUACCCGAGUCUUUUUGGUAUCAUCCGGAACAAGCACGAUACCAUCGCCCAAGUUCUCAGUUCACCCAUAGGAAUGUUUAUUUUCAGUUAGCUCAAUGUACCACGUGUUGGUCCAUAGGCAAUUGUGGAAACUAAAAGUGCCUCUCAAGGUAAAAGUUUUCAUGUGGUUGUUGCGACAAGGGGUCAUUCUCACAAAAGAUAAUUUGCAAAAAUGAAAUUGGCAUGGAAACCCAAAGUGUGCCUUUUGUGCUCAGAUGAGACGAUCAAGCACUUGUUUUUUAAUUGCCAGUUCGCACGUUCUGCAUGGUCCACCAUUCAGGUGGCUUCUAACCUUCGCCCACCAAAGCGUGUCAAAUAUUUUUGGCAAUUGGCUAAAUGGUAUAGGUACAAAGUUUAGAGCUAUAAUUUUGGUGGGGCGACCGCUCUUUGUUGGUCGAUAUAGCUGUGCAGAAACGAAAUUGUAUUUAACAAUCGACAAUCCACCUCUUUUAUGUAGGUUAUUUACCGUUCAUGGUCGUUGCUUCAACGAGAGGAAGACAUUACCUAUGAUUACGGCCGCAUGCUUGCAAGUGAAGCGGGCAGUCAGGGAGGUGUUCACCCACAAUGGGUGGCAGCAUAGUUUACGUCUGCAGGCUUCUUAAUUAGCUGAUGUUCGGUUGUAGUUAUUUAUUUUGACUCUCGGCUUUGUUUGGUUUUCCUUUGGUUGUGUGCAUCUUUGUUAUGCAGAGGCCGGGUGCAUGCGAACUCUGUUUGGUGUAUCUUCUUGAUGCGACAUCUUAGUUCAAUAAAGCUUCCAUUAGGAAAAAAAACCACGGUUGUUGAGGCGGCGCGUUUCUACGAGCUUGGACCGAGGCAGGAGCACCUGCCUGCCACCGUGGGAGGCACACAGUACAUAGUUGGUGACGACACGGCGAACCGUGGCAUCACACUAUUGGGUCAGCCCCGGUAUGUACAUCCAUACACCACACCACUUAUAUUCGUUUCUACGUGGAGUAUUUAUGAUCGGACUCCUAUUUUCAUCACGGGCGUCAUGAGCGUGGAUCACGGUGUAGAUCAAUUAUCACAUUCAAAUGAGAGAGCAUACCGUUGUAUCACAUUCUACCGAGAGAGCACAUGCAUGACGCUUCCACGAAGGUUAAAAAAACCCCGACCAAGAGCAUAUCAUUUGUUUCAAAGCUAACAGACCUAUUUAAUAAUUACUCCCUCCGUUUCAUAAUUCUUGUCAAAAUAUUACAUGUAUCUAGUCGCUUUUUAGGAAUAGAUACAUCCGUAAUUCUUGUCUCAAAUUUGCCCAAAAAUGAAUGUAUCUAUUCCUAAAAAGUAUCUAGAUACACAUAAUAUUUUGACAAAAAUUAUGGAACGGAGGUAGUAGUAAUCACUCAGAUUAGUGCUGGCAUGGAUGGAAUUUAGAAAGUUUUACCGAUGCACGUUAAUUAUUAAGUGUUUCAGGUUCAGCGUCAUCUUUCUACAGAGAUACAUGUGCCCUCUGUUUUUCAUAAUGAUGUUUGUAGUUUUCGUUUUGCAUGCCCUGGCUAGGUCAAUUUUUCCUCUAACAUUCAGUAAGCGUGUAGAAAAAUGUACCACUGUCUAAAACACUAAAUUAAUUUAUUCGAUCUAUAUGGAUGAGGAUAUAUGCAAUGAUUUCUCAACAUGUUUGAAGGAUUAAAGGAUGUCCUAAGUGAAACGUGGAAUUGUCCAGAUCUUGAACAGGGAAAGCAUUCCUAAUUUGAGCAGCAAGAUUGUGGUCCACCUUCUUACUAAAAAGAAUAGCAGAUUUGUUCUAGUUGGGGGUCUGGCCCGAGUCGCGACAAAAGUCAUCAAUGAUUUGUCGGACAUUUUUCGCUUCCUGACAAGUUGCCUGACCACAUAUCAGAAGAUCAUCUGCAUACAUUAAAGAAUGAAUAGGAGGGCAAUGUGGGCCAAGAGAGAUACCAUUGAGCUGUCUACUCUGCAACGCUUCCUGUAAGGAGAUGGAUAAUUCGUUAGCAGCAAGGACAAAGAGGUACGGUGAUAAAGGACAUCCUUGUCUUAUUCCGCGGCUGACAGAGAAUCUCCCAAAAGGUUGGCCAUUAAUGAUAACGGAGAAGGUAGGCAACGAGAUGCAGGCCAUGAUGAGAUUAAUGAAAUUACCAUGCAGCCCUUUACGUAGAAGCGCUCUCCGAAUGAAGUGCCAUUCUAGACUAUCAAAAGCCUUGGCUAAAUCGAUCUUGAGCAUGAAAGCUUUGUGAUUCCAGGAAGAGAGAUUGAAGGAGUGGGCUAUUUCUUGAGUUACGAUUAGAUUAUAAGUGAUACGCCGACCUAAUAAAAGCUUAUUGCAUAGGGUCAAUAUGAUCAGGAAGAUGACAUUUGACUCUGUUAGCAAGAGCCUUAGAAAUGAUUUUAGAAAUGACAUUACAGAGGUUGAUAGGUCUAAAAUCAGUAGUAGAAAUUGGAACCAUUUUCUUAGGAAUUAAAGCAAUAUGAGUUUCAUUGAGUUUAUGUGGCAUUAUACCUGAGGUGAAAAAAUUUCUUACCACCUUAACAAUGUCAUCUUCAAUCCAAUCCCAAGGUGCAAAAUAGAAUCCCACAUUGAAGCCAUCAGGUCCUGGGGAAGCAUUCUUUUUCAUGGAUUUAAGAAUCUGCAAAAUUUCAUCUUUAUCUGGAAUGGAAUAGGUAUACUCAUCAGGGAGCUCCUCAUCUGCUUCAUGCUCCGAUAGUCUAUCAUGUUCAUUGUUAGAGGAGGAAAACAAUUCAAUUCCAAACUUAAUGGUUUCAAGGCCAAUCGUCUCUCCCAUGCUGGUAGACUCACGCUCAUUAAUUCGGUUUUUUCCUCCAUUCCUGUCCACUAUAUGUCCAAUUUCCUUUUUUCCAGAAAAUUCUUAGCAAAGCUCACUGCUAUCAUAAGGAAUUUCUGGUGGACUGAUGUCACGGAUAGAGAUUCAACCAAACCCCUUUGUCUUAAAGCUUGGGAUGACAUUUGCAAACUCAAGAAGAUGGGUGGGCUUGGAACCAGAAGCAUCCAUGCCAUGAAUAAAAGUCUUUUAGUCUCUUCAACCUAGAGGAUCGUCAAUGAGCCCAACAGCCAUCUCUCGCUAAUCCUUAAAGCCAAAUAUUUUCCAACAAACUCCUUUUGGAAGCCUAAUUGUAACACUCCCAAAUCUUCUUUCUGGGCUUCCAUUUCCAAGAUUAAACACAUGCUUUAUGACUCCUGUUUUUACCAAAUCAGAGAUGGUAAUAGCUCCAUUUGGAGUUCCCCCUGGUUCCCUUACUGGAAAAACAUACAUGAUUACCUUAGAAUCCAGAACAAGCCUUUUUCUUACCCGGCUGUAGUUAAAGAUCUUUGGCUUGAUAAUUGUAAAGUCUGGAAUGCUAACUUGGUUUUGUAGCUCUUUGAUCAACCGGCGGCGGAUGAAAUUCUCAGAACUGCCAUUUUACCAGGAGAUGGAGAAGAUAUCCUUUGCUGGAAACACAAUGCUUCUGGGAUUUGCACUACUAAAGAGGCUUAUAAAUUUUGUGCUCAAAGUCUUCAAUCCUCUACUUCUCCUACCACUGAUUCUCAACAGGUAUCUUCUGCCAUGAUGGAAAUUUGGAAAAGCAAAACCAUUCUUCCUAGAAUAAAGAUAUUUGCUUGGCGUCUCCUUCAAAAAGCCCUUCCCACAGGUAAAAGAGCAGGUAAAUUUCUAAGAACAUCUCAAAAAACUGCAUCAGGUGUGGAGUGAUUGAGGAUGAAGUUCGUAUUUUCUUUCUUUGCCCUUUUGUCAAGGCUGCUUGGUUUGCUUCCCCCUGCUAUGCAACACAACUCUAUCAUCAAUAUUCUUGCUUCUAUUUCUCAUUCAAGUCAUCCAAAUGCUUCCAUUCAAAACAUCUUCACCUUCAUCUGGUGCAUUUGGAAGUCCAGGAACUCUCACCUCUUUAGCAGGAAGGUCACCUCCCCUUUACAGAUUGCUUCAAAUGUGAAUAACUUGUUUGCAGGGUUGGAGCUGGAGUCUACUGCGGAUUUGAACAAAAAAACAGGAUCUUCCACACUCUUACUCCACCCCCAUUUCUACUUCACAAAUUUCUCAUUUGCAGGGCUUUAACGUCUACUCUGAUGCAGCUUGGAAGUUGCCUGGUGAUGGCAAUGAUGCUUCAAUUGCAGGUCUUGGUGUCUUCAUCGAAUCGCUGGGCCCAAACAACAGAUGGAUAGCCAAGAUUCAAGCUACUUCUUCCCCAGUCUCUUCAGCUCUGCAGGCUGAAGUUCUAGGUGGUCUCCUUGCUGAAGCAAAGCAGAUCACAGAUAAUCAAAUCCUGAUGGUUGCCUGUCAGCUGAAGGAUGUGAACAACCACCCUGGUCACUGGUCAAUAAGAGCUUAUCUAUCACAGAUCAUUGAUAUCCAUUCUAGGUUGAAUAACAGGAUGAUUUUCACUCCAAGAGACAACAAUACUUUAGCCCAUCAAUUAGCUAAGGAUGCUAAGAAAAGGGGUAACAACAGCCCUAUCAUCUCUUGUACCAAUGAUUUUCAGAGGACUGUGGGUUGUCCUUUUAGACAACGGUGUAACUCCCAAAGUUCUGUUUUAUACAGGCUUCGCCAUGUACUAUGUUGUUAAUGAAUAAAUUCCCUUUCUUAAAAAAAAAAACAUGUUUGAUUGUUAGACGUCGGUCAUUAUUGAACCCUCACACGCGGAAAAUGUAUAGGCCCCCGGCCUCCGACCCAGCAUCUCCAUUGGGCCUCCGACCCAGCAACAGGGCCCCCGAGGCUGUUCUAAGAAAAAAAAAAGCAGAAACAAAAAACAGGGCCCAUCGAUGUGGCUGUCCACCGAAAAGGUACAAUGCUUGGUUUUGGACGCGAAAGAGGGUGUGGGCUGUCCAUCGAAAGCAUAUCACCGUUGGGCCUCCAACCUGGCUGGACGCACACCUACACCAACAGGGCCAAGGCCCUAGGGGCAUAUUCGCUCAUAUUUCACCCUUAAAUGAAAUAUGAAGCAACAAAAAAGCAAAAAAAAAAAAAAAGCCCAAGGGCCAUCGGAGCGGAAUCCAUGGCGGCCGCCGCCUGCUGCUCAUCGCCGUGCAGUCCGCCGGCGGGAUCCUGACGACGGCGAGAAGAUUGGAACGGCCAGCCGGGCCCCGCGGCGCGGAGGAGGGAGGGAGUUCGCUCCAGUCGCGCCGCCCGCGAAGAAAGGCCACACUCCUACCCUGCGGAGCCCGGUGCCUCGAUCCCAGGGGCGGCGGAGGGCGUCCUCGUCUCCCAUGAGCUGAAGCCGCCGGCGUCUUGCUUCAAUGGAUCUCGGAGGUAUGCAAUCUCGCUAGAUUAUGCCCCUACAGUCCUACACAUAGCACACGGCGGUUCUCUUCUCUAAUUUAUUUUUGCAUACAAAAUCCCGGCCCAAAUUCAACAUGGUCGUAUAAGGGAAGAACAGUUGCUGUCCAUGAAUCCAUGAUCCUACCAAUGUAGUAGAACUAUACGUACUAAUAAAACCAUGGAAAUAGAUAAUGCCUGGUUUCUCUUCUCAUCUGAAUCAAACAUCUAAAUUGUGGACUGUCUGAGCUUAAUUAGUAAUUACCGCCUUUCCAUAAAAAAGGAGCUUAUUACCACCUUCAGAGAAUGCAGGCAUGGUUAGGAGUUGAGACCACUUGACUUGACCGAUCCAUGGAGCUUGGAUGGACCACCUUGGCUGAUCCAUAUGUCUACUUGUUCCAGCUUGCAAUUUCAGCAGCAUAAUGUACAUGUCAGCUAAUUUGCCGUUAACUUCAAACCUGCUGCCAUCAAAUAGCAGCAAGCUGCAGGGAAGAAAAUAUGGCAAACUUAAUCACAAUACAAGCUAUCCCAAAAGUGUAGUGCGAAAUACACUAUAACUAAUAAAAGACGGCAAUAGGAAGCUCUAACAACAACGAAUUAAGGGGAGUUUUGUUUGCCCAGAUCCUUUGCAAACCGCAAAUUCUUCACUAGUUCACUCCUUGCGAUUUCAGUUUUGUUUGCCCAGAUCCUCUGGACGUCCUUCUAUUAAAUUAAUUUGCCGUUUCUCAUUCUGGAAAAUAACCCUAACAGCAUACUACAUUUACAUGGUAAAUUACAUACAGUCAUACAGAAUUGCGGAUACAUGAAUCAACAAGUAGCAUGCACUCACCAUGUAUAAUAUUUGGAUCAUGCUAAUUCCUGAAGCUGCUUGGGUGGUUCUUUGCUUCACUAUCCUUUUGGUUUUGAUUCGCUGUAUCUGUCUGAGCAUUCCUCUGCUCCCUUUCGCCUUUCGGCCCUAUAAUUGCUUGUCCUGCACUCAUGAGGACUCAUUUACGUCCUUAUUAGGUUACUCCUGCAUAGGUUGAACAUUGCUGGUUUUUCUAUUAUUCUGCUGAGUUGCUUCAGUAUUGCCUUCAGGUGCUUCAUCCUUGUCCCACAGUCUGCUCUUCUGGAUACCACAGUGCCAAAGGAAUGCCCAGAUGAGGACUAUGGAUUCACCUCUUGCUUAUCAAGGUUGUUCUUGUGAUCUGCUGCAUUCCACCUGGAGGCGAUGUGCACAAGUAAGUCAGCCCAGACUCCAGCUAUAAUCUACCAACGGCUUUCUUCAUUCUCGUAUUUGAUGAGAUCCUUGACUAGAGUAGCACCUUGCUCAAUUAUGCUCAUACUAAGCCUCCAUCCACACUGUGGCUUCCAUGAGUUUGUUAUAUCUAUAUUGAAUCAAGUUACAAUCUGUGAGUCGUCGGCGAGCAUGUCCCACGGUUUCCGAAAGAUAACCUCGGGUACAACAAAACCAUCUGGAAAUAUUCCAGGCUGAAAAAUCUGGAAACAGCACGGAGCACAGUAUUGUGGCUGUUGGAGAAGAUUUAGUUUUCAGCCAUCUGGUUUGGAUAUAAACUGCUUUCACGAUAUGCCAACGAUUUUUGUUGCGCUUGUCGUCGGCUCAUGCCUUGGAAUUUGCAACCAUCCUGGAAAUCCUGGCCAUGUAGAGUUAAGCUACGGUUAGGAUUCAAAACGGCACCAGCGUGCCCUUAUACAUAGAUACAAAGGCAGACGAUUUUCUUCCAUAUUAUUUGAUAUUUCUUAUAAGUCGUCUAAAAUUAAGCAUAAGGUGUAACUUCGGGGACAUCUGAUAAAACCCAUAUGCUGCAUAUAAUUCGAUGAAGACAUGUACAUAUAUAUCCAAGAAGUUGAAACAAAACGAGAAAAACAGCCAUGAAUAAAUCACACAUGCCCACGUGCACGGGAUGCAUGAUGUCUGUGGAUCAGGCUGCAAUGAGGUCAACAAGGUCUAGCAGCUGCUGGCCAUGGUCGGUAUCUGCACCGAGGAAGCCAGCAUGCGACAGCCGAGAGCAGAGCCCAGAGGUGCGUCGUCAGCUCUCCCUGCCCUUGGAGGUGUAUCUGAUGAUUGGCUGCUCUCGUGGACGCCGACAGGUGCAGGAGAAACCCUGCCCAAAACUUACCCAGGCUCCCUGUCGACAGCACCAUAUGUGGACAUGAGCUCCAUCGACAGCUUCGCGCCGAUCUUGACAAUGGACAGGCCCUUCUGCUGGUCAGGCGCCCACACCGUCGCAACUAGCGUGUCAUGGACCUUCCCCAUCGUGCGGCAACCCCUCAAAUCAUAGUAGACCUCUUCACGGCGUCGAACACCUUAUUGGCCACGAGGCAUUGUCUGGCACCAGCGCCUCCGUGUCCAGGUAGGCGCAAUAGUUGGACAGGCUCACCACGCGCCUCAAGGCCCCGAAGAAGGGUGGAGGGCAGGCUCAACGUGUACAAAUCACCUGGGGAUCCUGUGGCUUCCCCCCAGCAGCAGCAGCAGCAUCAGCUUGAUAUGUCAGAGGCUGGUGGCGACAUGCCAUACCCAGAACCUUGUGGGGUCACCGGCCUUGAGCGCGUGGUGGAUAGCGCUGAUUUUGGACUGCAAUAAUCUCUUUUCGGCGAAGGCCUUCCAAUGGUGAGACAUGAGUAAUUUGUUUCUCUUUUCCUGAUCCCAGAACACAGCAAAGAACGACAGAAACAACAGGCGAACACAAGAGGGAUUUUGCGACACCUUAACUUGCGCCUUUUCUGACAUUUCUUUUUUAUUCAAUCGCGGAACUCAGCAAAAGCUUGCUGGCCCGACAUGUCCGCCAUGACCCAACAUACACGCCCUCUAGGGCGACCAGAUCAAAUAACCAUAUAUAUCAGCUAGCGUGAUCAUAACUUUCAGGUUUACAAAACUGACGUGAGACGAAACAUAAAUAACGUGGUUUGAGAUACCACACAACAAGGCUUAACAUUAACCGUGUACUCAGGCAUUCAGGUCAUCUGUGUCAAGCAUCUGAUGACCAUGGGUGGUGUCACCAAGGAAGCCGGCGUGCGACAGCAAAGCCCAGAGGAACGUGGUGAGCUCUCCCUGCCCUUGGAGGUGAACCUGAUGCUUAGCUGCCGUGGUGUUUGCCGACAGGUUAAGGAGAUAUCCCGCCCAGAACCUGCCCAGGCGCUCCCAUAGGUCCUCCCCGUCGACGGCGUAUGUUGACAUGAGCUCCAUUGACAGCUCCGUGCCGAUCUUGACGAUUGACGGGCCAUUUUGCUGGUGAUCAGGUGCCGACAUCUCCGCAACCAGUGCGUUGUGGACCUCCCCCAGCGUGCUGCACUUGCUCAAAGUGUAGGCAGCCUCUUCACAUACUGCGUUGAACACCUUGUUGGUGACAAUGCCAUUGUCCGGCACCAGGGCCUUGGUGGCCAGGUAGGCACAGUAGUUGGACAGGUUCACAGCCGUGGAAUAAUGCUCCGGCAGGCCUGCCAUUGGGCAUAGGCUGUACAAGUCGACUCCGGCAGAUUCCCUGGCUUUCAUCUUCAGCAGCAGCUUUAUCUGGCAGAGGUUGGUGGCGACAUGCCAGACCAGAAUUCUUUGGGUCUCGCCGGAGUCGAGGGCACAGUAGAUAUCGCUGAUUUUGGAUUGCAGCUGUCUGUUGUUGCCCAAGGCCUUUCGGUGUUGAGACAUGAGUAAUCUGUUUCUCCUUUUCUGAGCCAAAGCCGAUGAUGGUUUCUUCUUCGCAUCUUCAGCAGACGCUUCGCUCACGACUUGGUUGAGUGACUCAAAUAUCACCCUCUGUACGUUAAUCCCCAGCUUGACUGAUCUGGCAAGGCAAAACGAUAUUUAUUCAUCUUGAAAGAUGAGACUUCUAUAUAUAUUAUAAAUGGAAUCUAUAUAUUCCAAAGUACACAUAGCAUCUGGCCUGGCAUUUUUGGAACUUACUAGCUAGGCAGUGUUAAAUCAAGAAGGAAGGAAGGUGUUGUUUGCAUGAGUAUAUACCUGGAGCGAAGUCGUCUAUUUCGGGUGGUUUUAGCUCGAGCGGCCAUCAAUAGGUUGUGCUGUCGUAUGUUUUGAUGCCACCGGCCCCUUCUGACGAGGCAGAACAUGAUCCUGGCCACCUUCUCCAUCACAAAGCGAUGGAGCAUCGGGGUCCACCCUGUCGGACUCUGUGGCAGCCGGAUGUAGUGGCAGAUGAUCACCACCUUGGUCCACUGAGACAGCACGUAGACACCCAUCUCCCACAGCUCCCUGCAGACCAUGAUCAAGAUGAUGAAGCGCGUGACGGAGCCACCGUGGGUAAUCCUCGCCAGGUAGCCGCCUUUGGUGACGGCAAUGGUUGCUGUGGGCAGGCCACGGACAGCAUACGCCAGGUAGGACGCUGCACCGGUCAUGAGCAGAGACAGCAUCAGCCUCAGCGUAGGGAAGCCGUCAGCGAAGACGACCGGGUGCUUGCUGUAGGACAAGUCCUGGAACAAAGACGGCUCGACCUCCGUGACGCGGAACACCCUCGUAGCCGUGGUUUUCCGGUUGCUCGUCGAUAAGGUGGGCGACGAGCUUCCUUGAGGCCGGGUGAUUGGCCUCCGGUAUGGGGAAGUCGAAGAAGCGGUGGCGGAGAAGCUUGUAGAGUGCGAAGGAGAGGCACAUGUCCUUGAACCGGCUGUCGCGGUCGGCGCCCCUGCCCAGCAACUUGUCUUGGGCGUCGUCACUGCAUUUCCAUACCCUGGCCACCGUGAUGAGGUCCUCUUUGUGUGUCUUGUCCAGAUGAAACAUGAACCUGGGCCUCUGGAUCAUCUUCACCUGCCAUUCUUCCCCAAGGACUAAGUAAUCAUACCAGGCCAUGAAUGUGGUCUCCGCCUCGGUGAUGGCGCUGGUGUCGUCCUUCUGCUGCCUGGACGCCAUGUAGUUGCUGACGAGCUUCAUGUUGUCGACGCAGGCGCCGGAUGCCUUGUUGGAGAAGUAGAACCAGAUGACCCGCAACGCGUGAAUGGUCCAGAUGAUCCAGAGAGGCGCCUUGAGGUACCUGGCUGUUCUUGCCCGGAGCUGGUUGGUGGACCACAGGGAGUUGAGCAGGUCCAGCGUGGACAGCUGCCGGGGCUUUUACGGCCGCCUGAUUCGGGCGCUGUCCUGCAUGGUGACAAUUAGGAUGGCCCAUACCUGGAAGAGGUCGUUGGUGACGGACCCUCUCUCGGCGGAAAACGGCUGCAUCAGGCCGAGGCUGUAGGACACAAAGUAGUGGCUGAGUAUCAUGAUGAUCUGGACGCCGAGCUUGACGUUCUGGGACGAGACUGUGAACCGUGGCCCAAUGGCGCCCACGGCGAACUUGAGCAGCAGCACCACCACCGACGACACCACCCAGAACUGCACGCUUGCUGCACGGGUCGACGGGUCAUGCUGGAACAGUGAUCGCACCGUCUCGGGGAUGGAUGACAGAAACUCCGACGCCAUCUUGCUGGCCGGCCCCAGGUGGCAACGCCCUCCUCGGUACUACGUACCCAGCUAGCUCUACUAGCUCUGGCCCGUCAAGGCUCUAUCCGCCUCCGUUUCGAGAUGUGCGGCAAGUAGGCGGUCAGUAGCUGCUAAUACAGGUAUUUCUCUUUUUUUAAAGAAGGAGCAAGCUCCAGAUUUCAUUAAGGAAAUCACACAAGGUUCAAGGUUGCUCCUAAUACAGUUUACUAGUACUAUUUUCUUCGUUAUGGACCACAACGACAGGUGCCUGGCGCUUAGAUGUAGACCAACCUUGUGCAUAUGCUAGGAGAUAUCGAGUGUGAAACUAAUGUACUAUAUAUUUCACAAUGUGUCAUACUCAUUACACGCAACAACUGGGGCUUUUCUGCUUUCCUUCGGCCUAUUCAGCCCCAAAGCCACCGGCAAGCCACCGGCUGUUAGGGCGAGUUGGCGUGGGCAGUCUUCUUCUUUUCAGCUUAGUAAAACAUCGAAGCCCCCAAGCUCUCAAUUGUUCGUGCGAGUUGGCGAACUUGGGCGGAUAGUUUUCUUGUUCUCUCAUUUUAAGAAAAUUUACAUCAAAGCCUCCAAGCCCUCGAUUGUUUAGGCGAGUUGAAUAACUCGGACGGGAAGUUUGUGAUGGUUCUAUAGACUUGUCUAUUAAAAAGGUUAGAGUAACAUGUCAGAAAAUUGAAAAACCCCAACGGAAGCAUAUGGUGAAUAACUUUCCUAAAGAUAACCCAAGAGCCUGAUAUCUUACACAAACUCGAGGUGCGGAGAGUCGUGGAACUUGCAAUUAGAAAGCCCUGAGCUUAUAUGAGCGGGGAAGGGCAGAGAUGCGGGCUCGUUUCAUGAGUGGGAACAAUGUGGGGAAUAGACCACACUGGACCUGGUAGACUUUAUUCAUGAUAUAAAAAAGAGGCUAUACCGAUAUGAUCCACGUUUUUGUAUAAGUCAGGGAUCUCUUCGUCGUCACACGCAAAUCGAUAUGAUCCACGUCGUGGGUUGGCUAUACCGUAGUGAAGGGGCCUUCCCACUUAGAGAUGAGAGUUUAUUUUGUUCUUUGGUGGAUUGGAUAAGUGGGAGAACGAGAUCCCCAACAUAUAUCUGGAGUUCUCUUCUUGGCGUUGUGCUUCAAAAUGGCGUCAGAGCUAGUCCUUGCUGGUAGAUAACAACUAGUACUAACGACAUGGCGCAUGUUCUUCGACUGUGUCAAGGUCGUCCUGUCGACACGAAAAACCGGCUUCCUCGUGAAACUAGAUUGCCUGAGGGACCUGAUCUUGAGUUCAGAGGGCAACAUGCAUGGUCUCAGCCUCGAAGACCAUAGUUAAAGAUGUGUCGCUCAUACGUCCGAAACAUAUCUAAUCCUUUCAAAGUUUCCAUUCAUGUUUUUAUUGUUUUUAGUAAGUUUUUGGACUUCAUUACAUUUAACAAACGUCGUCUUCAUUUUGUUAUUUCAGGAAUUUAAACAGGACGUCAGCAAAAUGACGGAGCCAGGGCCCAUACGAAGGUCUCGGGCGACCAGAGCAGACGUCCCGGACCUUUGGCCUGGGAGCCUUCGUCGCCGUCGCCUUUUGACAUAUUCUUCGUCCCCCGACUUAAAAGACAUUUUUAUAAAUUCCGUGCACAGAAAAAACCGCCUAUUAGAAAGCGAAGCAAAUCCAUAGAAAUUUCUGCCGCCGGAAAAGGACCUGACUGUACCAGCUCGUGAUACCUAAGGACCUGGAUUCAGUGAAGUCACUUCACCUGACUUUGGGUGGCUGACAUGUGGGUCCCAUGACCCAUUGGCCCACGUGUCAGCCACCCGUUGGAUUCAGUGAAGUUACUAGUACCGAACUCUACCGAUGGAGCUCUAUCCUUCCCGGAGAUGCGCAGCAAGUAGCUCCGAAUGCAGUUUUUUACUAGUGUGCCCGCUACGGACCACAAAGAAAGACAGGUGCGCGCGGCCGCGCAUUCUGUCUAUUAUAUACUGCUCAGCUUAUUUUGUAUAAGCACUUAGAUGUAGACUAAACUUAGCCCAAACUUACACAUAUGCUAGUGUACUUUGAUACUCGUAACGAUAAUUUAGAAAAGCUGACCCCAGCUUAGCCUCUUGCAAGCAAUUUGACAUAGACCGCCGUAUACAUUAAUUACUCUAUAUAUGUAACCAAAGGGAAUGGCCCUCGCAAUUUUGUACACAUUCUCUUAGUCUAUGGUUUCGGAAAUUAUAAUGAGCUAACGUCUCAGCUCUCCGGCAUGCAAACUCACUCAUUCGACCCUAACCUCCCUUUUGCUAAUUGCAUUUCUUCUUCACAAAAUAAUUAGAUUAUUAAUAUAAUUACCUUGUUAAUAUAUAAUUCAUGCGAUUUAAAUUGAUACCAUUUUAUUCGAAUACAAAAUACAUAUUUAUGGUUAUGAUUUGGAUCAUAUAAGUCUCAUAAUAAUGGAGAGCAGUUGCUGACCAUGAAUCCAUGAUCCUACCGAUGUAGAACUACUAGUAAACCAUAGAAAUGGAUAAGGCCUGGGUUUUUUUUCACCUCUUCUCAUCUGAAUCAAAUAACUAACUACAUUGUGGACUGUCUGAGCUUACCACCACCUCCAGAGAAUGCAGACAUGGUUCGUAGUUGAGACCCCUUGACCGAUCCAGAGUAGAGUUGAGACCCCUUGACUGAUCCAUAAGUUCACUUGGUAUUCCAGCUUACAAUUUCAGCAGUGCCAUCUGAGCAAGCAGGACAGGAAGUAUGCCAAUUUAAACCACAAUUCAAGCUAUCCCAAUGUGUAGGGUGAAAUACACAAUAAGCAUUAACAGCAACGUCCAGCAGUGACAACAAAUUAAGGGGAAUUUUGCCAGGAUCCUUUGCAAACCGCAAGUUCUCUAUUCCAACCGAUUCACUGAACUUGUUCAAGUCACUGUUGUGUUUGAUCUAGAUGUCCUUCCAAGUAAAUCUGGCAUUUCUUUUUCGAGAUCAGUUUAUCAAUUUCUCGUAUUAUGUUACGGUUUUGCUAAAUCUCAGGCAACUGAGAAAUAAGGAAAUAGCUUAUUUCUUGGUCGAUCUUUUUUCAGCCGUCCGAUUUGCUGAUGCCUCAAGAUUCAUGCCCCUGGCUGCCUGAGCAACGGGCUGACGACUGCCUGCUGCUGUUUGUAUCGGGAAUAGAUGUUGUGGGCUUUUUUAGGUGUGUGUGUUGGACUUUAGAUGUGAGGACGGGUUUGGAAAUGGGCAUGCUUUUCGUUUUUCUAGGCUCUCACGUGGUUACUGGCACCAUCCUGAGAAAAAAGAUCGAUGGAGGGGAGACGGAAAGUCCCAUGAGCAGUGCCCGUCGGUAAUUUUUGAUUUCAUUUUUAUUGGCAAUGUGUUUUUAGUGUGAAAUUUUAGUUCAUUUUUAUUUUUUACGAUACCCCAACUCAGUUGCACAUUCGAAUGAAAAAUGUGCAACUAAUAUUAUUUUUGACUUCUCCCUAUAUAACAUACUAAUCCGCGAUGUGUUUUUAGGGUGAUUCUGAGUUUACUUUUUUUUUAUGAAAACCUAGCUUGGUUGCACAUUCUAAUGAAAAGUAUGCAACUAAUUUUAUUUUUUUGGUGUUUCUCUAUAUAUCAGAUGAAAUCUAGCGUAGUUGUACAUUGGGAGAUGUAAGUUAGUAGCCCAGUUGCGCGCUUUGAGUUCUAUUGUGAAACUCUCUUUUUUUUGGCAUGGGGAACAAGAUGUGUUUCUGUGGUGGGGGGACCUUAAUAGGUUACGAAGCUCAGUUGCACAUUCCGACAAACAAUGUGCAACUAAGGCUCUCUUUGUGUAUUUUCCUAUAUGAACUUGGUGCUUUAUUUUUGUUCAAUAUUCUUUUUGACAAAUCAGUAAAGAUCAAAUAAUCUCAAUUCAUGGAUAUUAGGUAGUAGCCUACUUGCACAUUUCAAGUCAAAGUGUGCAACUAGGUUUUUUUCUUUCAACGGGGUGGCGUCGUAAGGCAUGCAAAUAGGGCUGCUACGGGUGCUUAUUGAAUGUGUUUUUAGUGUGAUUUUGAGUUUCACUUUUAUUUUUACGGAACCCACAUUCGAAUGAAAAAUGCGCAACUAAUAUUAUUUUGAUUUUUCCCAGUAUUUGAAAACCCUAUAUGAAAUCAUAUAUUGAGCGUGAUUUAGAACUUAGUUGUUUUAAAACACUAGCUAAGUUGCACAUUCCGACAAACAAUGUGCAACUAAGGCUCUCUUUGUGUUUUUGUCCUGUAUGAACUUGGCAUUUUUAUUUUUGUUCAAUAAUCAUUUUGGCAAGUCGGAAAGGAUCACAUAAUCUCAACCCAUGGAUAUUAGGUAGUAGCUUAGCUGCACAUUUGGAGUCAUAGCAUGCAACUCGGUUUUUUCUCUUUCAACAGGGCAGCAGCGCAAGGCAUGCAAAGAGGGAUGCUGUGGGGCGCUUAUUGGCGAUAUGUUUAGUGUGAUUUCGAGUUCAUUUUAACUUUUAGGAAACCCAACUCAGUUGCCCCUUUGAAUGAAAUACGCGCAACUAAUAUUAUUUUUUGACUUUUCCCUGUAUAUUAUAUGAAACCCUAUAUGAAAUCAUAUAAUUGAGCGUGAUUUAUAGAGCUCAAUUGUUUUACGAAGCACUAGCUAAGUUGCACAUUCCUAUGUGUGUUUUUAUGUAUGAACUUGGCGUUUUUAUAUUUGUUGAACAUUCUUUUUGACAAGUCGGAAUGGAUCACAUAAUCUCAACCCAUGGAUAGUAGGUAGUAGCUCAGUUGCACAUUUCGAGUCAUAGAUUGCAACUCGGUUUUUUCUCUUUCAACAGGGCGGCGGCGCAAGACAUGCAAAGUGGGAUGUUGCGGGCGCUUAUUGGCGAUGUGUUUUUAGUGUGACUUUGAGUUUAUUUUUACUUUUAGGAAAACCAGCUCAGUUGCACAUUCGAAUGAAAAAUGCGCAACUAAUAUUUUUUUUUGGCUUUUCCCUCUAUAUUAUAUGAAACUCUAUAUGAAAUCAUAUAAUUGAGCGUGAUAUUGAACUCAAUUGUUUUACGAAGCACUAGAUAAGUUGCACUUUCCGACAAACAAUGUGCAACUAACGCUCUCUUUGUGUAUUUUCUUGUAUGAACUAGGGGUUUUCAUUUUUGUUCAAUAUUUUUUUUCACAAGUCGGAAAGGAUCACAUAAUCAUUUCAAGUCAUAGCGUGCAACUCGGUUUUUUCUCUUUCAACAUGGUGGCGACGCAAAGCAUGCAAAGAGGGUUGCCGCUGGGCACUUAUUGGCGUUGUGUUUUUCAGUGUUAUUUUGAGUUAAAUCUUUUUUACAAAACCCAGCUCAAUUGCGCAUUAGGAUGAAAAAUGUGCAAGUAAUAUUAUUUUAGGAUGUGUCUUGGUACCUAUGUUUUUUUGGGUGAGUUGCACAUUACCUCUCCAAAUGUGUAAUUAAGUUUUUUGAGAUGUGAAUUGCACAUUAACUCUUUAUAUGUAAUUGAGAUUUUUGUGUGUGGGUUGCACAUAACUGAAACUUAAUAUAAUUUUUUGGGUGAAUUGCACAUCACUUCUCCUAAUGUGCAAUUAAUUGUUUGGGUUAGUUGCACAUUAAAUAUAUUGAUGUGCAAUUGAGGUUGUUAAUGUGUGAUGUGUGUAUGACUGAGAUUUAAACGUAUUUCUUCAUUGCUGAGACUUAAGAGAAAUUUUUUUAAGUGAAUUGCAUAUCAUCUCUCCUAACGUUCAAUUUGUUUUUGUGGGUGAGUUGCACGUUAAGUAUAUUGAUGUGCAAUUGAGUUGUUUUAUGUGUGAUUUGUGCAUGACUGAGAUUUGUAUUUUUUCACGACUGAAACUUGAGAGUAUGUAUUUAUGUGAAUUGCACAUCACCUCUUCUAAUGUGCAAUUUUUUGGAGGGUGAGUUGCACGUUAAGUAUACUGAUAUGAAAGCGAGUUAUUUUAAUUGUGAUUUGUGCAUGAUUGAAAUUUAACUGCAUUUCUUCGCGACCGAGACUUAAGAGUAUUUUCUUAGAUUAAUUGCACAUCAUCUCUCCUAAUGCGCAAUUUAUUUUUUCAUUUUUUUCUUACAUGCUUUUUUUUGGUGUUAAUCACAACGGUUGGUGUGAGUUUACUUCAUCAAAGUCUUUAUCUUCCAAUAAUUCUCUCUAGACGGGACCCAAGUCGCACAUUUGUUUUUUCUUUUUUGCUAGAAUUGCUUGGUCCGUUUUUCUUUUAUGUGUUGUCUUUCAAUCAGAAAAAGAAAAGAAAAAAAAAGCCCACACAAGCAAGCAAAGGCCCAGUCGGAAGGUGGGAUUUGGCUAAUACACACACGCACACCCGAUAUACCAGCCCAAAAAACAGCCCAGCUAGCCACAGACAAAAAGGCCAAACAUGGCAAGCCCAAAUAAGAAAAAGCCUCCUCUAAAAAAAACAAGAAAAAGCCCAAACACUCACCGUACGUGCGCUGAGGAGAUCGUGGGGAUCGAUCCAGAUUUGGGCUACGCAUUGACCGAGAAACUGUUGUUUGUCUGUCGCCUGAGCGAUAGUCGGACCCAUUAUGUUAACCAAGGUGAUCAGUAGCACCUUGCUGAAUUAUUGCCUCCCAUCCACGGUCUUCCGCGGCUUCCAUGGGUUUGUUAGGGUGUGUACAAUGAGAUGAUGUCAGCCUUUUCUUAACGAUGUCACAUAGGAUAAUUGCUGACGUAGAAAAGAGAGGAAUGAAAAAAAAAGGCUUGAGCCUUCUCUUAAUUAAAAGAUGAUCUCUUCACAAGAAUGAUAAGGCAAUUUUCCAUUAUACGAGAUUUCACAUUUUUCUUAACAUUUAUUUAGUUAAUUUAUUCAUCAAAGCAUUAAUUGUAAAAAUGACACUAAGAGAUACCUAUUGUACAACAUGUUUUAUUGUCUUUUUUAAAUGACGUGUAACACAUAAGAAAAGACAGUUUUAUCAACCAUCGUACAUCCCCUUAUACCUAUAUCGUAUCAAGUUACAAUCUGUGAGUUGUCUGCAAGCAUGUCCCAUGGUUUCCUUGAAGAUCAUCUCGGGUACAACAAAACUAUCUGGACACAGUGCAGGCUGAAAAACCUGCAGAUAAGCACAGUAUUGUGACAAGCUGUUGGAGAAGAGUUAGUAUUCAACCAUCUGGUUUGGAUAUAAACAGCUUUUACAAUAUGCCAACAAUUUUUGUUGGGCCUGUCAAGGGCUUAUGGCUUAGAAUUUGCAACCAUCCUGGAAAUCCUGUCCAUAAGCUACGUUUAGGAUUCCAAAUGGCAGCAGCACGCCUUUAUAUAUAGUUAGAAAGGCCGAAAUUUUGCCUCCAUAUUAUUUGAUAUUUCUUAUAAGUCGUCUAAAAUGCAUAAUAGUAGCUGCUUACAAUUCGAUGAAGACAUGUUCAUAUCCGAGGAGUCGGAAAGAAGUUGAAACCAGACAAGACCAACAGCCAUGAAUGAAUCACACACACAGCCAUGAAUAGUGCUGAUCACUUGAUCAGGCAGCGUUGAGGUCAACAGGGUCAAGAAGCUGCUGGCCAUGGUCGGUGUCUGCACCGAGGAAGCCGGCGUGCGACAGCAGAGCCCAGAGGUGUGUCGUCAGCUCUCCCCGCCCUUGGAGGUGUAUCCGAUGCUUGGCCGCUAUUGUGGACGCCGACAGGUGCAGGAGGAACCCUGCCCAAAACUUACCUAGGCUCUCCCACAGGUCCUCCUUGUCGACGGCACCAUAUGUGGACAUGAGCUCCAUCGACAGCUUCGUGCCGAUCUUGAUGAUAGACGGGCCAUUCUGCUCGUCAGGCACCCACGCCGCCGCGACGAGCGUGUUGUGGACCUCCCCCAGCGUGCGGCAACCCCUCAAAUCGUAGUUGGCCCCUUCACGCACAGCGUCGAACACCUUGUCGGCCACAAGCCCGUUAUCCGGCACCAACGCCUCCGUGACCAGGUAGGCACAGUAGUUGGACAGGCUCACCACCGUGGCAUAAUGCGCCUCGAGGCCCCGAAGUAGGGUGGACGGCAGGUUCAGCAUGUACAGGUCGCCUGGGGAUCCGGUGGCUUCCUCUCCCAGCAGCAGCAGCAGCAGCUUGAUCUGGCAGAGGCUGGUGGCAACAUGCCAGACCAGAACCUUGUGGGUGUCGCCGGCCUUGAGUGCGUGGUAGAUAGUGCUGAUUUUGGACUGCAACGAUCUCUUUUCAGCGAAGGCCUUCCAAUGGUGCGACAUGAGUAAUUUGUUUCUCUUUUUCUGAGCCAGAGAUGCAGAUGAUGAAUUGUUCGUCUUCCCAUCUUCCGCCAAAGAAGACGCGGCACUCAAGGCUUGGUUUAGUGACUCAAAUAUCACCUUCUUUAUAUUGCUUCCCAGCUUGACCGACCUGGCAAAGCAACGAUAUAUGUGUUCAUCUUGAAAGAUAAAACUACAAUCUGUUCCAAGCUACAUUUAUCUGUACACUUUGGAUCAAGUUAUGUACUACUCAUUUGGGUGGUGGUAAAUUAAGAAGGGAAAUGUGUUGUUAAUUAGAGUUGUAUAUACCUUGAGCGAAGUCGUCUGUUUGGGGUGGUUUUAACUUGAGCUCCAAUUAGUAGGUUGUACUGUUGGAUCUUCUCAUCCCAUUGUCCCCUCCAGACAAGCCAGAACAUGAUCCUUGCCGCCUUCUCUGUCAUCCAGCGCUGUAGCAUCGGCACCCACCCUGUUGGACGCUGUUUCUGCCGGAUGUAGUUGCAGACGAUCAACACCUUGGUCCACUGUGACAGCACGUAAACGCCAAUCUCCCACAUCUCCCUGCAGACCAUGAUCAAGAUGAUCCAGCGUGUGACCAACACACCAUGGGUGAUCUUGGCGAGGCGGCCGCCGGCAGUGACGGCGGUGGUUUCUCGAGGCAGGUCAUGGACAGCGUAGGCCAGGUACGAGGCUGCCGAGGUCAUGAGCAGCGACAGCAUCAACCUCUGCGUGGGGAAGCCGGCGGCAAAGACGACGGCGUGUUUGCUGUAGGACAAGUCCUGGAGGAAAGAAAGCUCGACCUCCGUGACUCGGAACACCCUCUCGUGGUUGUCAUCGAGGAUAAUUUGGGAUAUGAGCCGCCUCAUGGCCGGGUGGUCGGCCUCCGGGAUGGGGAAGUCAAAGAAGCGGCGGCGGAGAAGCUUGUAGAGUGCGAAGGAGAGGCACACGUCCUUGAACCGUCCGUCGGCAUCCUUGCUGAGCAGCCUGUCGCCGCUGUCAUGGUGGCUCCACACCUUAUCCAGUGUGAUGAGCUCCUCUGGCCUCGUAUUGUCCAGCUGGAACCUAAAGCUAGGCCUCUCGAUCUUCUUCACCUGCUCAUCUUCGCCGAGGACCAAAUACCUGUACCCGACCAUUGUCUUUGGGCAGGCGUCGUGGUCAGCGUGCUGCGACGAUGAUGACGCCAUGUAGUCGCCGACGAGCUUCAUGUUGUCGGUGCUGGCACCCUCUGCGCUGUCAGAUGACACGUAGUACCAGAUGAUGCGCGAGGCAUGGAUGGACCAGAUGAUCCAGAGGGGUACCUUGAGGUACAUGGCCGUCUUGGCCCGGAGCUGGUUGGCCGACCACAGUGAGGUGAGCAGGUCGACGGUGGACAUCUCCUGUGGCUUGUACGGCCGUCCAAUGCUGACGCUAUCCUGCAUGGUGACGAUGAGCACGGCCCAUACCUGGAACAGGUCGUUGGUUGCAGACCCUUGCUCGGAGGUAGACGGCUGCAUGAGCCCCAGGCUGUAGCUCACGGAGUAGUGGCUGAGAAUCCGCAGGAUCUGGACGCCCGGGUUCACGUACUGGGAGGACACCAUGAACCGGGGCCCCAUGGAACCCACGGCGAACUUCACCAGCAACAGCCACGUCGACGCCAUCACCCAAAACUCCACGCUGGCGGCGCGGGUCGUUGGGUCAUGACGGAACAGCUCUCGCACCGUCUCGAGGAUGGAUUGAAGGAACUCGAACAACAUGUUAUUCGCCGGCAUCAUAUAUCUCUUGAUCGGCGAUGACAACGACGACGACGCACUAGCUAACUAGCCUCCUCAAUUAGUGAGAAAGCUAAGUACUCAUCAGUUAGCUAGCUACUGCCUACUAAUAUUGUUCUCCCUGACGUACAGGCAGCGCGCCCCUAGACCUGAUCAGAGCAUCUAGCUAGAGCUCUCUUAGUCAAGAUCCGUACGUUUUUCCAGAUCACGCAAAAUAUAUUAGCCACUUACUCGAAAUACUAUGUUCUUGACAAUAUAAUUGUAAGGAGUGACUAUCCACACACCGUCGUGGUUCUGUUCUUGUAUGCUUUUAGUUAGCCAGUGUUUCUAGAUCUGGAUCAACCAUUUGUUUCUGAAUGAAUAAUAUAUAUGGGGACUUGACUACAGCUUGGCGUUUGUUUAACAAAGGUUUAGCGCAAUCCAAAAGAUUCCCCUGCAUGGAAAGCUUCAGAAAAAGCGCCCCGUGGUUGACAUAAAAUGUGACAUCACACAUUCGUCCAUGAAUUACGUAGCAGAAAGUACGUAGUGGGCAAUCUAAAACACUGAGAUAGUCAAGCAAGUUAAAAAUUCGUGACCAGUAGGGAGACGUGAAUUGCCACAUGACAAGGUUUGUGAAGGACUUGAGAUUUUGGUGUAGUCCGUGUCAUUCUAAACCACACAUUUGGAGCAUCUUCUUUUCCUAUUAUCAUGAGAGUAUUGUUUGACCUUCUGUGUUUCCCUUAGCUUUACUGAAGAACCCUAUGACUUGUACUAUAUGCCAAUUGGCAACUGCAUUUGCAUCUGCACGUGACUAACAUGACUUCCGGGUCUACUCCAUCUGGUCUUGAUAUUUGUUCUGACAUAAAAUAUUCAAGGCAAUACAGGAACAAUGAUCUUUCAAUGUAAUACAUGCAUGUAAGAGGGGAGUUUUUCCCUUCUCUUUUGGUUCUUUUUUAUUUUUGCAGUCUCCAUCUCCUACACGUGCACUCCUAGACUUGUGUUAAAAACAAUGAAUUGGUGAAGAAUCUUGUUUAUAUAUGGAGCAAUAGUAAAAUCCUGGUUCGACAGUGGAAGCAGAUAAAUAAUUUUGAAUCACUUCCACUUCGCCUACUAGCUAGCUAGCUAGUUGCACUAUUUCUCUUUUCUGCUUGCAGGCAUCUCACGUGAACAAGAAGACUGUAAUUAAUUACCUACUCUGAUUUGGAGGCCAUACGCUGGCUGCAGCUCCCCAAGAAGAAGAAGAAGAAACCCUUUCCUCUACGGGAUCAGAGGCAAGAAGGGUUGUUUGGCCUGGGCAGCAUUUCAAUCAGGUAUACACAUGUAUUAGCUAAAUAUGUUGUUCUGCUGUUUGCCGAGCCUUAAAAUUAACUUGAUAUUUGAAAAUGUUCCAUUUCUACAUCUUUUGGUCAGUUCGAAACUUCAGCGAGCUUAAAAAGAUGAAGAUGGUUGACGUCGGCGGAGUGAUUGCAUCCUUAUUCAUCAUGCUGAAAGAGGACAUCUAUGUCCUGAUCCGCAUUGAAAUCCUGGUGACACUGGUGACGGCGAUGUUCCUGGUGAUGUUCAUCAUGGACUUCUACCGGUGCCGGUCUCGUGGCUCCAUCAUCAUCACGGCCUUGAAGACCGUCGAUGGGCUGUCCGAUCAGAUAGUGGUGUAUCUCCUAGGGGUGAUGCAAUCUGCAGAAUUCGAUAACCAUCUCUUUGCGGUCUGGGCCGUGGUGCUGGUGAGCCUCCGUGCGAGCCUCGGCUACCUCUCCGGGUACGGCAUCCCAGACCGCGAGCGGCGGCUCACUGAGGUGGCAAACGUGGCAAAGUUCCUGGCGGUAGGAAUAUUGAAUGGGACACGCCGCUUGGAGUUCACCAAACCACUCUGGUCAUUGUGGGCCAUUCUGCUGCUAAGGAGCCUGUAUAAAUUUUUUGCCGGUCAGAAGGCUAUAUCAUCCUUGUGGCAUGGCCGGAGCUCGGAGUUCCUCCCUGAGUACAUGCGUGCCUUGCCCGACGACAGUGAAGAGAGCAGCACUGACAAUGGUCCUCAAAAGUACCUGAUUUACGGAGAGUACAGACAGAAGAUCGACUUGAAGAGGCCUGGGUAUACUCUGCAUCUUAAAACCAUCGAAGAGAAUUCGCUCAUCACACUGGACAAGGUGACAAAAUGCAAGGAGCAGCUGAUGAGAUCUGACAGCAGAUACAAGGAUAUGACCAUUGCCUUCACACUGUCCAGGCUGCUUCGCUGUAGGCUUGAAGACGUGACGCUGCACAGAGAGAAAGCUCUAACGACACAACACCUAAUCACUUCAGAGAUCACCGUUGGUGGGCUGGACAGCAACGCAGAGAGAGCAUUCAGAAUCCUGGAGCUGGAGCUUGCAUUCGUCCGAGACUACUUCUACACCCUUUACCCGAUGGUCUUCUGGCAAGGUCUUUUUUCUCUUUGUUUCAGCCUCCUCCUUUCCAUGGCGACCUUUUCUGUCGCGUUUUGGCUGGCCCUGGGCAUCCGCGAGGUCUACCAACCCCCUCAAGAAACACUUGUGCUCUGGGUGCGUGGAUGGAACGUGGAUGCUGUCAUCACAUGGGUGUUCUUGUUCUUCAUGAUGUUCAAGGAGGCCUGGGAGAUGGUCACAUACGUGCUAUCAAACUGGACAAGGUUACUCCUUGUGUGCAAGUACGUGCAGAAGAGCUCGCCUGAUGCUCUCAUGGAGAAUCUGACAAAAUCCAUUUUCAAGUCCAAAAUUGCCAACCCAUGGCACGGUUGCAUCGACCAGUAUGACUUCUUGGAGUCAUAUACUUACAAGCCAUCCUUUUGGAAGCUGGCAAAUGCCCUUUCCAUGGGUAAGGUUCCCAAGAAAACUGAUGGAAAAAAGUGUGGCAAAGCUAUCAAGAUCCCUCAAUGUGUAAAGCCAGCAAUCCUAAAUGCGCUCCUCCGCUUAGGCCUCAACAGCCCUCAGCUGCCCAAAGAAAUCCCAUAUCUGACGCAGAGUGGCUCACCAGUCGAUCAGUUCACACGGUACAGCUGGGCCUACCUUGAGCUGCAUACAUGCUCUCAGGUCAUUCUGGUGUGGCACAUAGCGACCAGCCUCUGUGAGAUCAAGCUUGCACAAGAUCAUGGAAUUGAUUUAACCAACCCUGGGUUCCUGCGGUCUGCCUGGUCGUAUCUGUUGUGCCGCUGCACUUCGCAGCCAUACCUUGUUGGCAAGAGCAGCAAUCUGCAUGAAUCACUGGAGACUAAUUACCAUGUCGCGAAAAGCUUGUCACAGUACUGUGCUUAUCUGCAGGUUUUUCAGCCUGGACUGUUGCCAGAUAGUUUUGUUGUGCCCGAGGUGAUCUUUGAGGAAACCGUGGGACAUGCCCGCGAACGACUCACAGAUUGUAACUUGAUACGAUGUAGGUAUAACAAACUCAUGGAAGCCGCAGAAAACUGUGUGGAUGAGAGGCUCAGUAUGAACAUAAUUCAGCAAGGUGCUACUCUAGGCAAGGAUCUCAUCAAAUACGAGGAUGAAGAAAGCCGUUGGAAGAUUCUAGCUGGAGUCUGGGCUGACUUACUUGUGCACAUCGCCCCCAGCUGGAAUGCAGCAGAUCACAAGAAUAGCCUCGAGGCUGGAGGCGAGUUCAUAACCCUCGUGUGGGCAUUGCUUUGGCACUGUGGCAUCGAGAAGAGCAGCUUGUGGGACAAGGGCGAAGCACCUGGAAGAAAUGCUCCAGUACCUCUGGAAAAUAAUAGUACUGGAACCAGCAACAGUCAACCCGAGGAGGGGCAACAAGUAUCUGAAAUCAAUGCUCAAGUGCUUCAGGGAAAUAAUACUGAAACCAGCAGCAUUCAGCCUGUGGAGGAGCAACCCGAUGAGGAUGUUACUGCUGAAACCGACAACAUCCAGCCCGUGGAGGUGCAACCCGAUGAGGAUGUUACAUCGAAUCAAACUCAAAGUGAGACUGAAGAAAUAUCUCCGAGCAACUCCACGAAUUAGCUUCGCCCCCCAUGCUAUGGUAAGUCUUCUACCUGUACAUUCUUUUUACCAUUAACAUGUAGUAGUAUGCUAACGUUAUGAUGAUUCAGAACAAGAAGUGGCCAAUUCGUUGGAAAGACUCCUGGAGCAAGGGAAAGAAGCACCUUGAACAGGUACACUUCAUUGGUUCGAAGUGCAAACAAAGGACUAGCGGUUUGUAAAUUAUACGCAAAUUAAGUAGCCUUGUUUGGCCCUGAAUUUGUUGUCAUCUAGCUGGAUGUUGUUGUUAAUGCUUCUUACUGUUGUCUUUGAUUGCUUGUUCUGUAUUAUCACCCGGCACUGCAGGAUAAGCUUGUAUCAUGAUUUACUUUGCAAUAUUUUCUGCCCUGCUUGCUGCGUCGGAUGGCAGCGGGUUGGAAGUUGAUACUCUUUUCUUCUGUUUUCUCUAUGGCAAACUUUCCUGCAAACUCUUGUUUAUGUUUUUUUUUCCUCCAUGAAAGUGGUCCUAUAUGCCUCUUGCCUAAAAAACUUAGUCCUAUUUAACAACUGUGCUUCCAAUGGGCGCAGACAGUCCCUCAUUUGCAAGUUCACAGCUUGCAGGCCACGGCGUUUUUUGGUCUAAUCCUUAACCAAUCCAGAUUCCUAGUGAAACGCAGUGUUGUGAACUUCGGACCAUGUCUGCAUUUUCUGAAGGUGGUGAGCUUGCAUAGUCCACACAUUAGUUUUUUGCUUUCAGAUUGCAAACAAGUUGGAUUCGGUGUUCUGAGAACCCAACUCUUUCAAGAAAUUUUCAGGUAAGAACUUGUCUCAUCUCUCUACCUCUAUUCUAACCAUUGAUCGAUCGAGGAAGGUAAGACCAUGGUACUAUUUGUUCCAACUAGAAGUGACAGCUCUAUCAAAACCUUCUCUAGGGAACCAGCAAAAUUCAAAAUAAAAGGGUUUUGCUAUCUUUGGUGGAGUAUUACUGUAAACCAUCAACAGUUACCAGCCUGAUCUGAAACAGAUUUAUUUAAAACAGUAAGAUAAUCACCAUUCCAAAAGUUGUUUACUUAAUUAGGGUGGUAAAACACAGUAUACUUUCUGAUGUCCAUCUCCCAUCGGAGUACGCUGAUGAUCUCAACCUGUAAUUUAACAACGACUGACACACUGGCUACAGUGCCCUCUCAAGCUCAUCAAUGCCGGCGCUAGCUAGCAGCAGCACUCUCAUCACUGGUUUUCACUCACAGGCGUUGAAGCUUGAUGCGAUUAGGAUCAGUAGCUGUAGUUCUUGACGAACAUGCCUUCCUUGGCGGCGGCGGCCUCGCCGUCGCUGGUGUACUUCCCCAGCUGCGCCAG